AGCAGCCGCGGUAAUUCCAGCUCCAAUAGCGUAUAUUAAAGUUGUUGCAGUUAAAAAGCUCGUAGUUGAAUUUCGGGAUUAGUACGUCGGUCGUGCCUUCGGUACGUACUGGUGUUACUGGUUCCUACCUUCUGACGAACCAUCAUGUCAUUAAUUUGGUGUGGCGGGGAAUCAGGACUGUUACUUUGAAAAAAUUAGAGUGUUUAAAGCAGGCUCGCGCUUGAAUACAUUAGCAUGGAAUAAUGAAAUAGGACGUUGACCCUAUUUUGUUGGUUUCUAGGAUUGACGUAAUGAUUAAUAGGGAUAGUUGGGGGCAUUAGUAUUCAAUUGUCAGAGGUGAAAUUCUUGGAUUUAUUGAAGACUAACUACUGCGGAAGCAUUUGCCAAGGAUGUUUUCAUUAAUCAAGAACGAAAGUUAGGGGAUCGAAGACGAUCAGAUACCGUCGUAGU
rnacentral:rRNA from 1 species